ensembl:snRNA U6 U6 spliceosomal RNA
GAUACUUUGUGCUUUCUUUGGCACAAAUUGGAAUGAUACAGAGAAGAUUAGCAUGGUCCCUGUGUAAGGAUGAAAAUGCUUUGAUUACAUUGUAAUAAAAUAUC